GGAAGAGGCACAAAUGACUCAUUGUCCCACAUCCUCCAAGGUCGAGAUCUGCUUAGUGCCAAGUGUGAUGUGGACAGUUUCCUGCUGGAUGGAGAGAGAAACUCAUUUCCCAUCUGUCAAGCAGCCUGACACAGAGUUGGUAAUGAUUUUCUGUCAGGCGAGGCCUGGCUGGAUUUGAACCCGUGACCCAGAGUAUGUUGAUUGGAAAAGAUGUUUAAUGAAUGGCCUGAGCCGACUCACCAGGUGCUGACAAUGAAAGAUUUAACUCUACCAAUUGAAGGUUUCUGCCUCAGAAGAUC
rnacentral:lncRNA from 1 species